rnacentral:rRNA from 1 species
CUCAAAUUUGAAAUCUGGCUCUUGUAGGGUCCGAGUUGUAAUUUGCAGAGGGUGCUUUGGUGUUGGCAGCGGUCCAAGUUCCUUGGAACAGGACGUCACAGAGGGUGAGAAUCCCGUACGUGGUCGCUACCCUUUGCCGUGUAAAGUCCCUUCGACGAGUCGAGUUGUUUGGGAAUGCAGCUCUAAAUGGGAGGUAAAUUUCUUCUAAAGCUAAAUACUGGCCAGAGACCGAUAGCGCACAAGUAGAGUGAUCGAAAGAUGAAAAGCACUUUGGAAAGAGAGUCAAAUAGCACGUGAAAUUGUUGAAAGGGAAGCGCUUGCAGCCAGACUUGCCUGCAGUUGCUCAUCCGGGCUUUUGCCCGGUGCACUCUUCUGCGGGCAGGCCAGCAUCAGUUUGGGCGGUUGGAUAAUGGUCUCUAUCACGUACCGCUCGAAUCUUCGGGGAGGCCUUAUAGGGGAGACGUGAUGCAGCCAGCCUAAACUGAGGUCCGCGCAUUUGCUAGGAUGCUGGCGUAAUGGCUGUAAGCGGCCCGUCUUGAAACACGGACCAAGGAGUCUAACAUCUAUGCAAGUGUUUGGGUGUCAAGCCCGAACGCGUAAUGAAAGUGAACGGAGGUGGGACCCCGUUAGGGUGCACCAUCGACCGAUCCUGAUGUCUUCGGAUGGAUUUGAGUAAGAGCAUGGCUGUUGGGACCCGAAAGAUGGUGAACUAUGCUUGAAUAGGGUGAAGCCAGAGGAAACUCUGGUGGAGGCUCGCAGCGGUUCUGACGUGCAAAUCGAUCGUCAAAUU